GAUGAACGCUGGCGGCGUGCCUAAUACAUGCAAGUCGAGCGAACAGACGAGGAGCUUGCUCCUCUGACGUUAGCGGCGGACGGGUGAGUAACACGUGGAUAACCUACCUAUAAGACUGGGAUAACUUCGGGAAACCGGAUCUAAUACCGGAUAAUAUAUUGAACCGCAUGGUUCAAUAGUGAAAGACGGUUUUGCUGUCACUUAUAGCUGGAUCCGCGCCGCAUUAGCUAGUUGGUAAGGUAACGGCUUACCAAGGCAACGAUGCGUAGCCGACCUGAGAGGGUGAUCAGCCACACUGGAACUGAGACACGGUCCAGACUCCUACGGGAGGAAGCAGUAGGGAAUCUUCCGCAAUGGGCGAAAGCCUGACGGAGCAACACCGCGUGAGUGAUGAAGGUCUUCGGAUCGUAAAACUCUGUUAUUAGGGAAGAACAAAUGUGUAAGUAACUAUGCACGUCUUGACGGUACCUAAUCAGAAAGCCACGGCUAACUACGUG
rnacentral:rRNA from 1 species